UACGGGGGGGGCAAGCGUUGUUCGGAAUUACUGGGCGUAAAGGGCUCGUAGGCGGCCAACUAAGUCAUACGUGAAAUCCCUCGGCUUAACCGGGGAACUGCGUCUGAUACUGGAUGGCUUGAGUUCGGGAGAGGGAUGUGGAAUUCCAGGUGUAGCGGUGAAAUGCGUAGAUAUCAGGAGGAACACCGGUGGCGAAGGCGGGUCUCUGGGCCGAUACUGACGCUGAGGAGCGAAAGCGUGGGGAGCGAACAGG
rnacentral:rRNA from 1 species